GCUGGGCACAGUGGCGCGUGCCUGUAUUCCCAGCUACUCGGGAGGCAGAGGUAGGAGGAUCACUUGAGCCCAGGAGUUCUGGGCUGUACUGCGCUAUGCCAAUUGGGUGUCCGAACUAAGUUUGGCAUCAAUAUGGCGACCUCCCAGGAGUGGGGGACCACCAGGUUGCCUAAGGAGGGGUAAACUGGCCCAGGUCAGAAACAGAGCAGGUCAAAACUCCUGUGCUGAUCAGUAGUGGGAUCGCGCCUGUGAAUAGCCACUGCACUCCAGCCUGGGCAACAUAGCGAGACCCCAUCUCU
ensembl:misc_RNA Metazoa_SRP Metazoan signal recognition particle RNA